ACGACGCUUGCGGCGUGCCUAAGAAAUGCAAGUCGAACGGAUCCGUAGCAUACGGGUUAGUGGCGAACGGUCCGCGUAACACGUAAGCAACCUGCCUCAAGUGGGGGAUAACAGUCCGAAAGGAUUGCUAAUACCGCAUGUGGUUCAUGGGUGGCAUCAUCUGUGAUCUAAAGCCUUGUGCGCUUUGAGAUGGGCUUGCGGCCUAUCAGGUAGUUGGUGGGGUAAUGGCCUACCAAGCCGACGACGGGUAGCUGGUCUGAGAGGGACGAUCAGCCGGAUUGGGACUGAGAUACGGCCCAGACUCCUACGGGGGGCAGCAAUUAGGAAUCUUGCACAAUGGGGGAAAACCCUGAUGGCAGCGACGCCGCGUGAAGGAUGAAGGAUUUCGGUCCUGUAAACUCUUUAGUGGGGGACGAAGGAAUGUGACGGUACCCCAAGAAUAAGCCCCGGCUAACUACGUUGCCAGCAGCCGCGGUAAUAACGUAGGGGGCGAGCUGUUGUCCGAAGUUACUGGGCAGUAAAGCGCGCGUAGGCGGCUAAUUAAGUCUGAGGUGAAAGGUUUCAACACGCUCAACGUGAACAAUGCCUUGGAUACUGGUUGGCUUGAAUGUGGCAGAGGAGCAUGGAAUCCUGGUGUAGCGGUGAAAUGCGUAGAGAUCAGGAGGAAUACCAAUGGCGGAAGGCAGUGCUCUGGGCUAACAUUGACCGCUGAGGUGCGAAAGCGUGGGGAGCGAACGGGAUUAGAUACCCCGGUAGUCCACGCCGUAAACGAUGAGUGCUAGGUGUAGGCGGUAUCGACCCCGCCUGUGCCGUCGUUAACACAUUAAGCACUCCGCCUGGGGAGUACGGCCGCAAGGUUGAAACUCAAAGGAAUUGACGGGGGCCCGCACAAGCGGUGGAGCAUGUGGAUUAAUUCGUCACUAACCGAAGAACCUUACCCAGGUUUGACAUCCGACGCACCGGCCUGAAGGGUCGUUCCCUUCGGGGACGUCGAGACAGGUGUUGCAUGGCUGUCGUCAGCUCGUGUCGUGAGAUGUUGGGUUAAGUCCCGCAACGAGCGCAACCCUCACCGUAUGUUGCCAGCGUAAAGUCGGGAACUCUUACGGAACUGCCCGUGCAAACGGGAGGAAGGCGGGGAUGACGUCAAGUCGGCAUGGCCCUUACGCCUGGGGCUUCACACAUGCUACAAUGGUGCCUACAAAGGGGUGCGACCCCGCGAGGGUGAGCGAAUCUCAAAAAGGCAUCUCAGUUCGGAUUGCAGGCUGCAACUCGCCUGCAUGAAGCUGGAAUCGCUAGUAACCGCAGGUCAGCGAAACUGCGGUGAAUACGUUCCCGGGCCUUGUACACACCGCCCGUCAAGUCACUUGAAUUGUCUGCACCCGAAGCCGGUGGCUUAACCCGCAAGGGAGAGAAACCGUCUAAGGUGUGGGGAGUAAGAGGGACU
rnacentral:rRNA from 1 species